rnacentral:lncRNA from 1 species
CGUCAGAUGCCGAGAGGCUUCAGUCGCUUCUGUUCCACUCAGUCAUCACAGCAAAAGGUUGCGAUGCUUUUCCCACCAAUACACGUGCACCAGAGAUGACCUAUCCCUGUGAGGGUAAGGAGGCCUUCCAAACAACAUCAGCAGUGUCAUCCCAGCAAAUGACAGUCUGAUCAAUAGCUGUGAUUGCAAUAAGUCUGGACAUAACUAGGCACGGUGGAUCAAUAUUGUUACAUGAGCUGGUUGCACUAACUCCAGUGCCAAGUUACUGCCUCCUAAUUAGGUUGAUCACAAGCUAACCAUUAUCAAUACAUUUGUUUGAACUAGUCCUUAAGUACAUGAUUGCGUGAGUGUUUCCCUUUCUCAAAAAACCAAUACACAAUCAAUUGUAAAACAAACAGUUCUGUUUCAAUUCAAUACAUUCAAAUAUGAGGGCCAGAUCUUCAGAGAUGCUGUUAUCUUUUCCCAUUGACCUCACUGGAGAAACCAAUAAAAAAAGGAAAAGUGAGUCAAUAGCCUAAGUCAGCGUGGUCUGCAGGGCUCUUCAGCUAGCCAGAUGUAGAUGCCUGCUUUAGGGAAAUGUAUGCACUCCUACAUCCAGCCAGCUGAGGGGCUCCCCAGGCUCCAACUUAGUCAUCCUCAUUAUAGAUACCUAUGAGCUCAUUUCCAGGGGAUUUAGCUUAAGCUAAUGUAAACCACCAUAUCUGUGUUCCAGAUUCAAGGUAGAAUUCAAGACCCAGAAUUCCUGUUUCAUUUUGCAGUCUAUAAAAAUACUAAUUUUAAUCCAUAUCAGAAAAGAAAAAAGUGCUGUGAAUUUCUUGUAGAUUUUGGACAAUGAGCCUUGAUUUCUCAAUCAAUUCUGUGUCUUAAACAGGAUAACCAUGAGUUGAGUAUGAACAUUUUUGGGUUCUAAGAUGCAAAACUUUCACUGAUCUUGUGAAAGCUUUCAUUUGGAAGUUGAAUUUAUGCAAGUGUGUGUUAAUAACUUGGCAUCUUAAAGGGGUUAUUUUGAGUGCUAUCUUUAACUUCAUUACCAUUACAUUAUUUCAAAGAGAGGAUGGCAGCUUGUGGCCUAGUACCUUGAACCAGUUUAAAAAUUCCUAUGUAGUGUUUGUGAUAGUCCACAGUCAAGAGGAGAUUUCAACAGUGGGAAGCAAUGGAGCAGUCUUUGGGAGACCAAGAGAUGUUUACUAUCAUUACACAAUGCUGACAUUCUUCUACAUAUUUUUCUGCAUAAAGUGAAAUGGCAAUCAAAACUGAAAUAGGUCUAAAUCAAACAAAUACCAAAAUCACAUGGUAAAACUCAAUCCAGACAGUCUCAUAGUCUCCUUUUUUGUUGUUGUUUGUUUUUUUUUUUUGAUCACAAUUAUUGAAGGCUGAACCCCUCAGUGUCUUGCCUCACUCUAGGAUGCUUUUAGGAACAGGAAUAAAGAAAAAAAAAACAUCUUUAAAGGUGAAAUCUUUGUACUGUAAAGUGUUUUCUUGAUUAGAAGAAACCUUAUUUUUAUAACCAUGAUUCUGGGGGUAAAGGGAAAUGUAAAGGUAAUUCUGACACUUACAUGAACAGUGUUUUCCUGUCAUACAUUCCCACGCCUCACGAGGUUUCUGCUAAGCACUGUAGAAGUUAUUGUGGGAUAGGGGACAAUUGGUAUUACCACUAUAAAAGCUUCCCCUAAGUUGUCCCCAGCAUGAAUCAGAAGUAUAAAUUGCUGUGCCUAAGUGGGAGAGGUAAGAAAUAGACUGUUCCCACUGGAAAGAUAAGCCACUGGAAAUGAGCCCAAAAAUUUGUGUUUAGGAGUCUCAGAGCUGGAAUACUGCUACAGUGGAUUACCAGGGAAACCAGAAAUGUGCAGGAACCAGAGCCUAAACAUCUGACUGUGUUUGCCAGGCAUAUAUUUUGGAGAGAGAUGCAGUGUGCAUAAAGAGCUCAGAUUUACUUUGCAGCAUAUCUCAAUAAAGAGAUAUUUUCUC